rnacentral:rRNA from 1 species
UACGGAGGGUGCAAGCGUUAUCCGGAUUUACUGGGUUUAAAGGGUGCGUAGGUGGGUAAGUAAGUCAGUGGUGAAAUCUCCGGGCUUAACCCGGAGCGGCCAAGUGAUACUGUUGUGCUAGAGUGCGGAAGGGGCUACUGGAAUUCUCGGUGUAGCGGUGAAAUGCGUAGAUAUCGAGAGGAACACCUGCGGCGAAGGCGGGUAGCUGGGCCGACACUGACGCUGAGGCGCGAAAGCCAGGGGAGCGAACGGG